rnacentral:SRP_RNA from 1 species
GAAUUUUGCCCAGGCCAGGAAAGUGAGCAGCCGCAAGUGAGUCUUUGUGGUGCGGGUGG